UACGUAGGGUGCAAGCGUUGUCCGGAAUUAUUGGGCGUAAAGAGCUCGUAGGCGGUCUGUCGCGUCGGCUGUGAAAACCCGAGGCUCAACCUCGGGCCUGCAGUCGAUACGGGCAAACUAGAGUACUGCAGGGGAGACUGGAAUUCCUGGUGUAGCGGUGAAAUGCGCAGAUAUCAGGAGGAACACCGGUGGCGAAGGCGGGUCUCUGGGCAGUUACUGACGCUGAGGAGCGAAAGCGUGGGGAGCGAACAGG
rnacentral:rRNA from 1 species